GACGAACGCUGGCGGCGUGCCUAAUACAUGCAAGUAGGACGCAGUUGCGAACGGGUGAGUAACGCGUAGGUAACUACCUAUUAGAGGGGGAUAACUAAUGGAAACGAUAGCUACUACCGCAUACUAGUAGAUGGACCUGCGUUGUAUUAGCUAGUAGGUAGGGUAAUGGCCUACCUAGGCAACGAUACAGAGCCGAGCGUGGAGGGUGAUCUGCAACCAUGGGAAUGAGAAAAGGGCCAAAAUCCUACGGGAGGGAGCAGUAGGGAAUUGUCGGACAUUGGGGGAACCCUUACCGAGGAACGCCCGGUGAGUGAAGAAGGGUUUCGGAUCGUAAAGGUCUGUUGUUAAGGGAGCGGUACUUAACCAGAAAGGGACGGCUAACUACGUGCCAGCAGCCGCGGUAAUUC
rnacentral:rRNA from 1 species